UACGUAGGGUGCAAGCGUUAAUCGGAAUUACUGGGCGUAAAGCGUGCGCAGGCGGUUAUGCAAGACAGAUGUGAAAUCCCCGGGCUCAACCUGGGAACUGCAUUUGUGACUGCAUGGCUAGAGUACGGUAGAGGGGGAUGGAAUUCCGCGUGUAGCAGUGAAAUGCGUAGAUAUGCGGAGGAACACCGAUGGCGAAGGCAAUCCCCUGGACCUGUACUGACGCUCAUGCACGAAAGCGUGGGAGCAAACAGG
rnacentral:rRNA from 1 species